rnacentral:rRNA from 1 species
CUCCUUUGACGUUAGCGGCGGACGGGUGAGUAACACGUGGGUAACCUACCUAUAAGACUGGGAUAACUUCGGGAAACCGGAGCUAAUACCGGAUAAUAUUUCGAACCGCAUGGUUCGAUAGUGAAAGGUGGUUUUGCUAUCACUUAUAGAUGGACCCGCGCCGUAUUAGCUAGUUGGUAAGGUAACGGCUUACCAAGGCGACGAUACGUAGCCGACCUGAGAGGGUGAUGGCCACACUGGAACUGAGACACGGUCCAGACUCCUACGGGAGGCAGCAGAC